rnacentral:hammerhead_ribozyme from 1 species
ACCCAUUUGACGAGUUUCAAACAGGACGAAACGCGAGUCCUGGAU